rnacentral:rRNA from 1 species
UCUACGGGUGGCAGCAGUGAGGAAUAUUGGUCAAUGGCCGGAAGGCUGAACCAGCCAUGCCGCGUGAAGGUCAGUGCCCUAUGGGCGUUAAACUUCUUUUGUGCGGGAGCAAUAAUGGUCACGUGUGGCCAGACGAGAGUACCGUACGAAUAAGGAUCGGCUAACUCCGUGCCAGCAGCCGCGGUAAUAAGAAGGAUCCAAGCGUUAUCCGGAUAUAUUGGGUUUAAAGGGUGCGUAGGCGGUUUGAUAAGUUAGAGGUGAACUACCGGUGCUCAACACCGGAACUGCCUCGAAUACUGUUGAACCAGAGAGUAGUUGCGGUAGGCGGAAUGUAUGGUGUAGCGGUGACAUGCUUAGAGAUCAUACAGAACACCGAUUGCGAAGGCAGCUUACCAAACUAUAUCUGACGUUGGGGCACGAAAGCGUGGGUAGCAAACAGGAUUAGAUACCCCAGUAGUC